UAGGGAAUCUUCGGCAAUGGACGAAAGUCUGACCGAGCAACGCCGCGUGAGUGAAGAAGGUUUUCGGAUCGUAAAACUCUGUUGUUAGAGAAGAACAAGGACGUUAGUAACUGAACGUCCCCUGACGGUAUCUAACCAGAAAGCCACGGCUAACUACGUGCCAGCAGCCGCGGUAAUACGUAGGUGGCAAGCGUUGUCCGGAUUUAUUGGGCGUAAAGCGAGCGCAGGCGGUUUCUUAAGUCUGAUGUGAAAGCCCCCGGCUCAACCGGGGAGGGUCAUUGGAAACUGGGAGACUUGAGUGCAGAAGAGGGGGGUGGAAUUCCAUGUGUAGCGGUGAAAUGCGUAGAUAUAUGGAGGAACACCAGUGGCGAAGGCGGCUCUCUGGUCUGUAACUGACGCUGAGGCUCGAAAGCGUGGGGAGCAAACAGG
rnacentral:rRNA from 2 species